GCCAAUCGGAGCGCCGUAGCCGCUCAGGCUUCUUUCGGGAAGAGGUGGAAGAGGAGCAUCACGUGCUCAGGUUUUGCGCAAGGAGGGCUUAAGAUUGAGGAUGGAAACAUGAAUUAAACAGACAAGCAUUAGUCUUGGGUCAGACCUGGUCAGGAAAACAUGUGGGUCAUCAUGGCAUUUUGGUUUGAGCACUGAAUUGUGAUUCUGGAAACCAGAGUUUGAAUCCCUGCUUGGCCAUGAACCUACCGGUGGUGCAGUGGGUGAAACUUUUGUGCCAACAGGACUGCUGACUGAAAGGUAGGUGGUUAGAAUCUGGGGGAGAGAGAGGAUGAGUUCUUUCUGUCAGCUCCAGCUCCCCAUGUGGGGACAUGAGAAAAGCCUCCCACAAGGAUGGUAAAACAUCAAACAUCCGAGCGUCCCCUGAGCAACGUCCUUGCAGAUGGCCAAUUCUCUCACACCAGAAGUGACUGGCAGUUUCUCAAGUCGCUCCUGACAUGAAAAAAAAUCUACUAGAGGAUGAUCAUGGGCAAGUCACACACUUUCAACCUCUUUGCAAUGGCAAACCUCUUUUAAACAAAUCUUGCCCAGGAAAUCCUGUGACAGGGUUGCCGUAUCCCAGAAAUAACUUGAAGAUACAUAUCCAGCACAUUAAAAGUCAUAAGAAAUCCAGGAAAGAUUUGGGACAGUUACAACUGGAAAGGUUGUUAUUUGGAAGCAGUUCCUGCUCUUUGGUAAUCUUUGGAGCUUGAUGAAGUCUGCCUGCAUAACAUGAAUCUCAAUGGGAGGAAUUUGGUGUUGGCUGCGCAGCUAACAACUACACAGUCGAACUAUUGCGGAAGCAACUCUGUCCUGGAAUGCAAUAUCUAUCAUGCUGAACUGGAGCCAAAAUAUCUAAGCAGGUAAUAGAGUAAGUACAGGCAAUCCCCAAGUUGCGAACAAGAUAGAUUCUGUUGGUUUGUUCUUCAGUUGAAUUUGUAUAUAAGUCGAAACAGGUACUUAAAAAAAAUGUAACUCCAGAUAUGUGUGUGUGCGUGUGCGUGCACACGUGUGCUUUGGAUAAGAUAGGGAAGAAUUAACAGCUUUGGUGAGAAAGCUUCACUAGAACCCCCUUUCCCCAUGUAAUCUUUUUCAGGAGUGAAUUUCCCUUCCGAGGGGUAGAUUUAUCUCAAUUCUGGUUGUCUCACCCCCAUUCUUAACAGUGAGUCAUUUAGAAGUCAAAUGUUUGUAACUUGGGCUCUGCCUGUACAGCUGUUUUAAUAAUAAUAAUAAUAUAACAACAACAACAACAACAACAACAACAGCAGAAAGAUAAUAAUAAUAAUAACAAAUAUACAGAUACUGUGGGACUUCCGAAUCCAGACUGACAAAGUUCUGGAACACAACACACCAGACAUCACAGUUGUGGAAAAGAAAAAGGUUUAGAUCAUUGAGGUUGCCAUCCCAGGUGACAGUCGCAUUGACGAAAAACAACAGGAAAAACUCAGCCGCUAUCAGGACCUCAAGAUUGAACUUCAAAGACUCUGGCAGAAACCAGUGCAGGUGGUCCCGGUGGUGAUAGGCACACUGGGUGCCGUGCCAAAAGAUCUCAGCCUGCAUUUGGAAACAAUAGGCAUUGACAAAAUCACGAUCUGCCAACUGCAAAAGGCCCCCCUACUGGGAUCUGCACGCAUCAUCCAAAAAUACAUCACACAGUCCUAGACACUUGGGAAGUGUUCAACUUGUGAUUUUGUGAUACGAAAUCCAGCAUGUCUAUCUUGUUUGCUGUGUCAUACAAUAAAAUAAUAACAAUUACAACUUUA